AUUCAGCUUAUAAGUCCCAAAUAGGACGAAACACGCGUCCUGGAU
rfam:Schistosoma mansoni, Puerto Rico, WGS project CABG01000000 data, contig: 0044